ensembl:lncRNA
UGAAUACGGACAGCGGCGCUCACCUGGUGCCUCCUCUGCUUUGGGCUCCGAAUCACUCGCUGGGGCCUCAACUUUCUCUGUUGGCGAAGGAAGAGAAGGAUUUGUACAGGUGAACAAACAAACGGUCACAAUGGUUCGGUUGAACUGGCGUGUUCCCAGAUAAUUGACACGUCUCGAACCGCAGCAUCGCUGUCCUUGUUACUUCUGGAUAAUCCACAGAACGCAACCCUGAGCACAAAUAGAGCCACAGGAGCUGCAGCUGCCGGCUCCGAGGGGCUUUCGGCUGCCGCUGCUUCGGCAGGUGCUGCGGCCUCUUCAGGCGGACUGGCUGCAGCAGGCGGAGGCGCCUCCUCUGCGGAUAGAGCUUCAGCAGGGUCAUCUGCAGAUGCUGCAGCUGCAACAGGUUCAUCUGCAGGUUUUGCAUCGCCGGCGGCGGCAGGGGUUUGGUCAGGAAUAGUUUCGCUGUCCUCGGCUAUGUUGCCAUUUUCAUUGGCCGCCCCUGUCGGGAACAUACACAUUAACAAGAAGCACGAUUCAAACAGACUGAUUAUAAAGUAAAACCUAUGUAUUAAAUAUAAAACCAGUACAAAUGUACGGACUACGUUGAAUGCAGUCAAGUGCAUGACUUAUGACCCAUAUUGUUGGGUUCAUGCCGCUGAUAUGGAUUGAGAAGGCAAAACUGUUGAAGAUGAGAAGCAUGAUGACAUUUGCAUGAAACACAGGGGCUUGUAACACUUUAAGGCACAUGAUACCUGAGUUAAGGGACGAGCAGUAGUUUUUUCUGGGGUGAUAUGUCUCCCGAAUGAUAUUGCUCUGGCUAUUAGGUUACACGCUAAAUCCUAAGUGUCCCUGGCCCAAAUCCUUUGCUGCACCUCUUUCUCUUGUUUCCUGACAUCUCUCCACUCCUGUAUGUGAUAUAAAGUCUCCUAAAAUCCUAGAAUUAAACUCCAAUCACUGGCUGUUGACCAUGCAAAGCUCCCACCAAACCAAAACCACAGUGUGUACACUUAUUCGAGAAACAUAAUUCUACACGGUCAACUCCUCCCCCCUUUUAUUUACUGGGUAAAUAAUAAAUUAUGUUUUGGCACCAUGCCACAGGCCAUUGGGAAGGAAGUAAAUAUGGAAUAAAUCGACCUCCACUGGUGCAAAAAGGGUUAAUCAUUACAUGGAUUGUUGUUAAUUAACACAGUCAGCCUCACACUGGGCAGUUCACAGCUAUGUGGACAGGUUGCUAUGUGCUUGAUACUGUGCAAGCAUCUUUUUGUUUAAUGGAUUUGCAUUGGGAGUAUAUUUGCAUGGAUCAUAGAAGUCUGGGCUGUCUAUCGUCUAUGUUGGUAUAAGUAAGAUACCCUUUCCUUUUCCAUUUCUCAUGACAUCUGUCACAAUACUUUCCUUAAAAGGAGAUUGUGUUCUAUAAAUGUUUAAAUAAAUCAACCUUUGAUUAAUAGACGUCAUCUAUGUCUUUUGGGUAUGAAAAGUAGCAUUAGGUGAAGGAAAUGAGCCUCAUGCAAAAACAAGACGGCACCCUGAUAGAUUUCCCUCUGACCUCUAAGACGAU